AUUAAAUUGAAAUCAGAUACUAUAUGUGGCGAUGUACCAGUCUCUUGUGAUGGAAAUGAAGAUCCUAAAUCAAGAAAGCAGGCUGGAGAUAUCUCUGCGUCAAGUACACCUGGUAUGCAUGCUCGGAAAGAUGAUGAUAACAUAUUUUCAAAGAUGACAUCAUCCAAAAUCAGCAGGAGAUAUGAUCUGGGAGCAUCUUGCUCUGAUGCAGAAAUUGACUAUAGGAGGGGAAGAAGCUUAAGAGAAGGCAAAGGAGAUUUUGCGUGGCAAUGACUAAAAUUAGAGAAAAAGCAAGUCGUCAGUUGUUUCCCAUGUAUUAAGUUGCAGGUUUCUGUCAUACUCUUCUGUUUGGAGUUAUCUGUGAUAGGUGGAUGAUCUAACAUAUGAUCUAACGUAUUCUUCUCCUGUAUUUCCUCCUUUCCUGCUCUUUCAGGUGUGGCCUGAUAUCCCUGAUUGAUGAGUGUAUUCCCCGUGUUCCUAAUUUCCCACUUUCCUAUAAUUUACAUAUAUUUCCC
rnacentral:misc_RNA from 1 species